GAUGAAGAACGCAGCGAAUUGCGAUAAGUAAUGUGAAUUGCAGAAUUCAGUGAAUCAUCGAAUCUUUGAACGCACCUUGCACCCUUUGGUAUUCCGAAGGGUACGCCCGUUUGAGAGUCGCCGUAAUCUCACACCUCCUGGGUUUGACCCGCGAGGCGGUGGAUAUGGACUUUGCCGUUGGAAAACGGCCGGUCUGAAAUGCAUAAGCGGACUCCGACGUCUUAGCGUUGCGGUGUGAUAGUUGUCUUCACCGUCUGCCUUUGGGCUCGCUGGACGUUGUUGUGGGGACGCUCUCCAAUGGUCCCGUCUGGGACAAUAUUUGACGAUUCGACCUCAAAUCGGGUGGGACUACCCGCUGAACUUAAGCAUAUCAAUAAGCGGAGGA
rnacentral:misc_RNA from 1 species